rnacentral:rRNA from 1 species
CAGUAGCCGCGGGAAUACGUAGGGUGCAAGCGUUAAUCGGAAUUACUGGGCGUAAAGCGUGCGCAGGCGGUUAUAUAAGACAGUCGUGAAAUCCCCGGGCUCAACCUGGGAACUGCGAUUGUGACUGUAUGGCUAGAGUGUGUCAGAGGGGGGUAGAAUUCCACGUGUAGCAGUGAAAUGCGUAGAUAUGUGGAGGAAUACCGAUGGCGAAGGCAGCCCCCUGGGAUAACACUGACGCUCAUGCACGAAAGCGUGGGGAGCAAACAGGAUUAGAGACCCCAGUAGUCCCUGUCUCUUAUAC